UCUGCUCGGUUCCUUCGUUUUUGGCAGAGAGAACGACGGGCUGUAUGGCUCACGGCUGCUCGGUCGGGCCAGGAUGCCGGUUCGUGGGCUGGCUUCGGGUCGUUCUUGGUGUUUGAUGAGGGUGACAUGCUUUUUUUUAUACUUCUUCUCUUAUGAUCUUUGCCUCAGUAGACUGCGCCGCCUUCUUUCCUCUGUUAAGUAAUUUUUUCAUUCUAAUUCUAAUGUUUAUCUUUGCUUUUUGUGCUGUUUCCUCUCCUGCAUAUUUCUCUUGCGUUUCAUUUCGUCUGGUACCUUCUUUUGCUUUCCAUUUUUCUUCUCAGCUCUGCUUUGGAUUUCUUGCGUAAUUGAUCCUAUUUCUUUUACUCUUCUUUCUUGAGGUUCUGGCCUGUUGCUUCUCACAAAUUGCUGCAAAGACUCACCCUUGCUGCAAAGACUCACCCUUUGUGUUGGUCAUUCUACUUUUGAGGUUAGUUGGCUUUUUCUAGGACACUUUUGGGCAAAAAACAGAGAUCACAGAAGAGUAUAUGAUUUCAGAAAAUAAUAAAGCCGCAGUAGAAUUGUGUUAUGAGAUGAGAUGUGAAAGAGAAUGUUACAGUAGCUAAUAAGAAUAAUAAAUUAAUUAUUGUUUGCUAUGAAUGAAAUUGCUAGCAAGGAACCCACCGUAGCUAAUAAUAAUAAUAAAUUGAUUAUUUGUUGUAUUGUUUGGUGGGAAGGAACCCACCGUGUUAUAUUUGGUUUUAUCUACAACGAUGUGAAUUUUUUGUAAAAACAUUUCACAACAUUAAUAACAUUAAACAAAUUAAACACCUAGGAGAAAAAUAUUUAGGGUUGUUACUGAUAAUGAUUCAUUUUCUGCUAUUCAUUGUUUUCAUCUAAAUGUUUAUGUUACAUCUACUUGAAUUGUUUUAUCAUUCGUCCCAUUCGCUUUCUCCAAGUACAUAUAUGUAUGUAUGUUUUAUCUAUACAUCCAAGUCUUCUCUUCCUUUUUUCUAAUGUCUACAAUGAUUUUUACAGCAUAUGAUAUUAAUUUUUAAUUGUUUCUUUACUGAUUUGCUGCAUUUAUUCUUCCAUAAUAUUUGCUGAAAUUUUUGAAUGCAUGACUUAAUUUCUUCAUCAUUUCAUUUAUUACUUUGCGAAUUUUAGUUUUUUCAGGAAGAUUAGCAACAAAAUGAUAUGUCUCAUUUCGAAGGAGGGAUUUCACUUCGUUCUGCACCUCAACAUCCCUCUAUUUUGCGCUGAUGUACAAAUUGUAUAAUUAGCACUCUUUUGUCAUCUUUUGUCCCUCUAUUUUGCGCUGAUGUACAAAUUGUAUAAUUAGCACUCUUUUGUCAUCUUUUGUGACACUAUGUAUAUACCAAAAGAUGUAACCUAUGUUUACAAAACAAACUCUUUUAUAUUAUA